rnacentral:lncRNA from 1 species
UUCAGAUAAACCAAAUCCAGCUUGAUUAUCUAGAAAACGUAGCUACCCUUUUGUUGCGGCCGGCCAGAAGGUUCGGGAGUUUUAGCCGUGGCGGCAUUUGAGCUCUCAGUUCCUUCACAACCAUUAACCAUCUCACUGAAGCUCAUCCAUCUCAGAGAAGAGUUCUCCGCUUUAAAGCUCAUCCUCCUCGAUUGGUCAAGAAGAAGACCAAUCGCUUCUUCUUGGUGGGUAUUCUUUUGAACGAUUUUGACUAUGGACUUCAAUACUUGAAAUUAAGGGUUAACCUCCUUGACUUGAAUAAUAUGAGGAAGAAGAAGCGGAGGAGCA